rnacentral:rRNA from 1 species
UACGUAGGGUGCAAGCGUUAAUCGGAAUUACUGGGCGUAAAGCGUGCGCAGGCGGCUUUGCAAGACAGAUGUGAAAUCCCCGGGCUUAACCUGGGAACUGCAUUUGUGACUGCAUGGCUAGAGUGCGGCAGAGGGGGAUGGAAUUCCGCGUGUAGCAGUGAAAUGUGUAGAUAUGCGGAGGAACACCGAUGGCGAAGGCAAUCCCCUGGGCCUGCACUGACGCUCAUGCACGAAAGCGUGGGGAGCAAACAGG